CGUAUCCUGAAAUGUUCGAUAACUUUUGAAUUUUUGAACCUACAAUACUUUAAACGGGAUUCUUAUAUUCGACUUUGGAUGUCGGGCCGUCACUGCCUGCAUUGGCGGGUACAUGGCGACAUGCAACGGAAGGCUGAAGAAGUUCGUGCGGUUGCCCACCUAGCAAUAGCUAGGAGUCAAAAAUCAAGAGCCGGCAUUUUGGGACUUAU
rnacentral:other from 1 species